UACGAAGGGGGCUAGCGUUGUUCGGAAUUACUGGGCGUAAAGCGCACGUAGGCGGACAUUUUAAGUCAGGGGUGAAAUCCCAGAGCUCAACUCUGGAACUGCCUUUGAUACUGGGUGUCUUGAGUAUGGAAGAGGUGAGUGGAAUUCCGAGUGUAGAGGUGAAAUUCGUAGAUAUUCGGAGGAACACCAGUGGCGAAGGCGGCUCACUGGCCCGGUACUGACGCUGAGGUGCGAAAGCGUGGGGAGCAAACAGG
rnacentral:rRNA from 1 species